CCAGAUCCACUGGAGUCUGAGCUUGAGACGAGGGGGGACCUUGAGGAAAGAAAUCAUAAUUGCCUCCAGGACCAUAAUAUUCAGUCUGAUAAUCUGAGGAGGGGAACAAAAACAACAACUAAAUAUAAAUACAAACCAUCCUCACGCAGCCUCAGACAAUGGAAAUCAGAAGACUUGUCCAGAGACAGGCCAAAUCUACAACAAUCACGAAGAACAUUUCAACAUUUACCUUUGAUUCCAGACUUUUACGCUAAUAUGCAGCCCAUGUAAUUCCAAUAUUUUAAAAUGCAUUUGCCAGUUGAAAUAAAACUCGACUUCUUUCUGUUCAUGCGUUCAAAGGCAUGAAAAGUGUGUUGGAA